AGUGAACGCUGGCGGUAGGCCUAACACAUGCAAGUCGAACGGCAGCACAGUAAGAGCUUGCUCUUACGGGUGGCGAGUGGCGGACGGGUGAGGAAUACAUCGGAAUCUACUUUUUCGUGGGGGAUAACGUAGGGAAACUUACGCUAAUACCGCAUACGACCUACGGGUGAAAGCAGGGGAUCUUCGGACCUUGCGCGAUUGAAUGAGCCGAUGUCGGAUUAGCUAGUUGGCGGGGUAAAGGCCCACCAAGGCGACGAUCCGUAGCUGGUCUGAGAGGAUGAUCGGCCACACUGGAACUGAGACACGGUCCAGACUCCUACGGGAGGCAGCAGUGGGGAAUAUUGGACAAUGGGCGCAAGCCUGAUCCAGCCAUACCGCGUGGGUGAAGAAGGCCUUCGGGUUGUAAAGCCCUUUUGUUCGGAAAGAAAAGCAGCAGGUUAAUACCCCGCUGUUCUGACGGUACCCAAAGAAUAAGCACCGGCUAACUUCGUG
rnacentral:rRNA from 1 species